rnacentral:rRNA from 1 species
GACGAACGCUGGCGGCGUGCUUAACACAUGCAAGUCGAACGAUGAAGAAAAGAAUUGAAGCUUCGGCAGAAAUUCAUUUCGGAUUAGUGGCAGACGGGUGAGUAACGCGUGAGCAACCUACCUCUUACAAAGGGAUAGCCUCGGGAAACCGGGAUUAAUACCAUCUAACAUUGCGACGAAGCAUUUCGAUGCAAUCAAAGCUACGGCGGUAAGAGAUGGGCUCGCGUCCCAUUAACCAGAUGGUGAGGUAACGGCUCACCAUAGUAACGAUGGGUAACCGGCCUGAGAGGGUGACCGGUCACACUGGAACUGAGACACGGUCCAGACUCCUACGGGAGGCAGCAGUGGGGAAUAUUGCACAAUGGAGGGAACUCUGAUGCAGCGACGCCGCGUGAGUGAUGAAGGAAUUCGUUUCGUAAAACUCUGUUCUAUGGGAAGAAAAGGACUGUACCAUAGGAGAAAGCGCCGGCUAAAUACGUG